rnacentral:lncRNA from 1 species
UUAAUUAAUGCAUUCAAAUUAUUUUUUUUUUAAAAAAAGGUAAAAUUCAAAUACUAUCUUUUUGAUUUCGUACUUUUUUAUUUUAGUAUUCUAUAGUUUAAAGUGUAUCAACCUGUGAUAUCAUUUUUAUUUUUUAGACAGCUUUUUCGUUAAUAUUUCGUUAAAUUAUUUACAAAAAUUUUCAGAUAUUCCACCUAGGUUUAUCGAAUAUUCACUUUAGUGACUUUUAGUUUUAAUUUUGUCACUGAUUUAACAUAAAAAAAUUAGUGGAAUCAAUAAUACAAAGAUAAAAGUAAAAUUACUGAAUACUAAAUUGAUACACUUUACGAAAGUGAGAAAGUGUGAAACCAUAUGAGUGGAAUUUGAAAAUUUUUUCAAAAAAACUUAAUUUGAUGG